rnacentral:rRNA from 1 species
AGAGAGAGACAUGCGCGCAUAUCAAUAAGCGGAGGAAAAGAAACUAACAAGGAUUCCCCUAGUAACGGCGAGUGAAGCGGGAAGAGCUCAAAUUUGAAAUCUUAAAGGGUUUCCCUUUACGAAUUGUAGUUUAAAGAAGUGCUUUCUGUUGAGGUUUUGGUAAAAGUUCUUUGGAAUAGGACAUCAUAGAGGGUGAGAAUCCCGUAUUUGACCUUUACUUUCAACUUUGUGAUACACUUUCAAAGAGUCGGAUUGUUUGGGAAUGCAGUCCAAAAUGGGUGGUAAAUUUCAUCUAAAGCUAAAUAGUUGGCGAGAGACCGAUAGCGAACAAGUACCGUGAGGGAAAGAUGAAAAGAACUUUGAAAAGAGAGUUAAACAGUACGUGAAAUUGUCAAAAGGGAAGCGUUUGACACCAGUGUUGUUUUUCUGAAAAUCAAUUAAAGAACUGUUUAUGCUAAGCUGUUUAGACUUUAUCAGCUAUCUGUUUAGUUUUGAGCUUUUCUUUAAUGCACUUUUCAGUUAACAAGUCAACAUCAAUUUCUUUUGCUGUAAAAAAGCUUGAGGAAGGUGGCUUGAGAUUCGUCUUAAGUGUUUAUAGCCUCUUGCCUAUGCAGUCGGAGAGAUUGAGGUCUGCAGCGUAGAUCCUUCGGGGCUAAAUGCAUUUGUGCUAAGUUAUAGCAUUUUAUAGACAACUUGUUGACUAUGAUUUGUCUUGUAGCUUACUCGCUUAUGUUAUUUUACCUACGCUUAGGAUGUUGACGCAGUGAGAUAUACGC